GGACAGAAAGACCCUAUGAAGCUUUACUGUAGCCUGGAAUUGAAUUUGGGUUUAAUUUGCGCAGUAUAGGUGGGAGGCAAAGAAGAUAUGUUUGUGGAUGUAUCUGAGCCACUAGUGAGAUACCACUCUGAUUAAACUAGAAUUCUAAUAUUGAUUGCCAUAAGCUGGCCAAUAGACAGUUUCAGGUGGGCAGUUUGACUGGGGCGGUCGCCUCCUAAAAGGUAACGGAGGCGUGCAAAGGUUUCCUCAGGCUGGUCGGAAAUCAGUCGUAGAGUAUAAAGGCAUAAGGAAGCUUGACUGCGAGACCUACAAGUCGAGCAGAGACGAAAGUCGGCCUUAGUGAUCCGACAGUACUGAGUGGAAAGGCUGUCGCUCAACGGAUAAAAGUUACCUCUAGGGAUAACAGGCUGA
rnacentral:rRNA from 1 species